rnacentral:rRNA from 1 species
GACGAACGCUGGCGGCGUGCUUAACACAUGCAAGUCGAACGGAAAGGCCCUGCUUUUGUGGGGUGCUCGAGUGGCGAAAGGGUGAGUAACACGUGAGUAACCUGCCCUUGACUUUGGGAUAACUUCAGGUAACUGGGGCUAAUAUCGGAUAGGAGCUCCUGCUGCAUGGUGGGGGUUGGAAAGUUUGGGCGGUUGGGGAUGGACUCGCGGCUUAUCAGCUUGUUGGUGGGGUAGUGGCUUACCAAGGCUUUGACGGGUAGCCGGCCUGAGAGGGUGACCGGCCACAUUGGGACUGAGAUACGGCCCAGACUCCUACGGGAGGCAGCAGUGGGGAAGAUUGCACAAUGGGCGGAAGCCUGAUGCAGCAACGCCGCGUGCGGGAUGACGGCCUUCGGGUUGUAAACCGCUUUCGCCUGUGACGAAGCGUGAGUGACGGUAAUGGGUAAAGAAGCACCGGCUAACUACGUG